AGAGUUUGAUCCUGGCUCAGAACGAACGCUGGCGGCGUGCCUAACACAUGCAAGUCGAACGGAAUUAAGGGGCUUGCUCCUUAAUUUAGUGGCGCACGGGUGAGUAACGCGUAGAUAAUCUGCCUGAUGAUCUGGGAUAACACUUCGAAAGGGGUGCUAAUACCGGAUAAGCCCACAGGAUCUUUGGAUUCAGCGGGAAAAGGGGGGGACCUUCGGGCCUUCUGUCAUCAGAUGAGUCUGCGUACCAUUAGCUAGUUGGUGGGGUAAUGGCCUACCAAGGCUACGAUGGUUAGCCGAUCUAAAAGGAUGACCGGCCACAAGGGCACUGAGACACGGGCCCUACUCCUACGGGAGGCAGCAGUGGGGAAUUUUGGACAAUGGACGAAAGUCUGAUCCAGCGACGCCGCGUGAAGGACGAAGGUUUUCGGAUCGUAAACUUCUUUUGCAGGGGACGAAUGCGCGCAAGCGCUUGACGGUACUCUGCGAAUAAGCCACGGCUAACUACGUGCCAGCAGCCGCGGUAA
rnacentral:rRNA from 1 species